rnacentral:lncRNA from 1 species
CCCCUCACACAUCUUUAUGUUGAAGAGUCUUUUGGAUACUUCAAAGCAUGCAGUUUGACUCUGCUCACCAUACAACUCUUAUAGAUGAGUGAUUAUAGCCCUGACAAUGGGCAUAUGCUCUGUUGGCUUUGUAACUCAUUUGACAUGGAAGCCAGUACAUAGCACUUAACUCGACUGUCUUCAUCCAUUUAUUUAUCAAAUACUAUUCUCUGCUUAGCACUAGGACGGUUUGAUAAUACUAGAGGGUCCUGGUCAAGUACAUGUUCUAAUUUUUUAAAAAUCAAGAUAAUCUUGAGGUUUCUUAGCCAAUCUUUAAAGUUG